rnacentral:rRNA from 1 species
UGAACGCUAGCGGCAGGCCUAAUACAUGCAAGUCGAGGGGCAGCACGGUAGCAAUACUGGUGGCGACCGGCAAACGGGUGCGGAACACGUACGCAACCUUCCUUUAAGAGAUGAAUAGCCCGGAGAAAUCCGGAUUAAUGCAUCGUAAGAUUGUGGGAUGGCAUCAUCCAGCAAUUAAAGAUUUAUUUCGCUUAAAGAUGGGCGUGCGCCUGAUUAGGUAGUUGGUGAGGUAACGGCUCACCAAGCCGACGAUCAGUAACUGGCGUGAGAGCGCGACCAGUCACACGGGCACUGAGACACGGGCCCGACUCCUACGGGAGGCAGCAGUAAGGAAUAUUGGUCAAUGGACGGAAGUCUGAACCAGCCAUGCCGCGUGAAGGAUGAAAGCCCUCUGGGUUGUAAACUUCUUUUAUCUGGGAAGAAACCACCUUUUUCUAAGGGUGUUGACGGUACCAGAGGAAUAAGCACCGGCUAACUUCGUGCCAGCAGCCGCGGUAAUACGAAGGGUGCAAGCGUUACUCGGAAUUACUGGGCGUAAAGCGUGCGUAGGUGGUUUGUUAAGUCUGAUGUGAAAGCCCUGGGCUCAACCUGGGAAUGGCAUUGGAUACUGGCGAGCUAGAGUGCGGUAGAGGGUAGUGGAAUUCCCGGUGUAGCAGUGAAAUGCGUAGAGAUCGGGAGGAACAUCUGUGGCGAAGGCGACUACCUGGACCAGCACUGACACUGAGGCACGAAAGCGUGGGGAGCAAACAGGAUUAGAUACCCUGGUAGUCCACGCCCUAAACGAUGCGAACUGGAUGUUGGGCUCAACUUGGAGCUCAGUAUCGAAGCUAACGCGUUAAGUUCGCCGCCUGGGGAGUACGGUCGCAAGACUGAAACUCAAAGGAAUUGACGGGGGCCCGCACAAGCGGUGGAGUAUGUGGUUUAAUUCGAUGCAACGCGAAGAACCUUACCUGGCCUUGACAUCCACGGAACUUUCCAGAGAUGGAUUGGUGCCUUCGGGAACCGUGAGACAGGUGCUGCAUGGCUGUCGUCAGCUCGUGUCGUGAGAUGUUGGGUUAAGUCCCGCAACGAGCGCAACCCUUGUCCUUAGUUGCCAGCACGUAAUGGUGGGAACUCUAAGGAGACCGCCGGUGACAAACCGGAGGAAGGUGGGGAUGACGUCAAGUCAUCAUGGCCCUUACGGCCAGGGCUACACACGUACUACAAUGGUGGGGACAGAGGGCUGCAAGCCGGCGACGGUGAGCCAAUCCCAGAAACCCCAUCUCAGUCCGGAUCGGAGUCUGCAACUCGACUCCGUGAAGUCGGAAUCGCUAGUAAUCGCAGAUCAGCAUUGCUGCGGUGAAUACGUUCCCGGGCCUUGUACACACCGCCCGUCACACCAUGGGAGUUUGUUGCACCAGAAGCAGGUAGCUUAACCUUCGGGAGGGCGCUUGCCACGGUGUGGCCGAUGACUGGGGUGAAGUCGUAACAAGGUAAC